rnacentral:rRNA from 1 species
UACAGGAGGGGCAAGCGUUGUUCGGAAUUACUGGGCGUAAAGGGCGCGUAGGCGGCCUGCUAAGUCGAACGUGAAAUCCCCGAGCUCAACUCGGGAACUGCGUCCGAUACUGGCAGGCUUGAAUCCGGGAGAGGGAUGCGGAAUUCCAGGUGUAGCGGUGAAAUGCGUAGAUAUCUGGAGGAACACCGGUGGCGAAGGCGGCAUCCUGGACCGGCAUUGACGCUGAGGCGCGAAAGCCAGGGGAGCAAACGGG